UUGACACCAUAUAGAUUCUAUUUAUUUUGCUUUGUUUGGGAAUCUUUCCAAAACAGGAAGACUCAUCGCAGUUUUGAGAAAACCAUUGUCCAUGUCAAGAUUAUAUGGUAAUAUUUACUUUACCUAAUAAAAAAGUCAAGUUGAUGUCGCACUUUUUCCGAUUGACGGACAGAGAAAUGACUGAUAAAAUAGUAUAAAGACUUGAACUCUUCCAAAAAAGUAUACUCGGGAUCAAAGUUCAAACUACUAUCUUUUGACUAAAACUACUAAGUGCAAAGACAAUUUCUUUUAUAUAUAUAACUGGAAAUUCAUGGCGAAUUCUAUACUAAAUCUUCAAAAUAUGUGAAAGUUGGAAUGAUUGAACCCUGAUUUAAAUGACCAAACAUAAUUAAAACAGCAAAAUUCUCAAUAACUUAAAAAAAAACAUUUUUGUCGUGAAUUUGUGAAUUUU
rnacentral:lncRNA from 1 species